rnacentral:tRNA from 1 species
UAGCUUAGUCGGUAGAGUGCAAGGCUUUUAACCUUGUGGUCGUGGGUUCGAGCCCUUC